AGGGUUUGAUUCUGGCUCAGAACGAACGCUGGCGGCAUGCCUCAUACAUACAAGUCGAACGAGGUCUUCGGACCUAGUGGCGCACGGGUGAGUAACAUGUGGGAAUCUACCUGAAGGUUCGGAAUAACUGCGGGAAACUGUAGCUAAUACCGGAUGUGUCUGCAAAGAGAAAGAUUUAUCGCCUUCAGAUGAGCCCGCACUAGAUUAGCUAGUUGGUGAGGUAACUGCUCCACCAAGGCUACGAUCUAUAGCUGAUUUGAGAGGAUGAUCAGCCACACUGGGACUGAGACACGGCCCAGACUCCUACGGGAGGCAGCAGUAGGGAAUAUUGGACAAUGGGGGAAACCCUGAUCCAGCAAUGCCGCGUGAGUGAAGAAGGCCUUCGGGUUGUAAAGCUCUUUCAUCAAUGAUGAUAAUGACAUUAGUUGAAGAAGAAGCCCCGGCUAACUUCGUGCCAGCAGCCGCGGUAAUUC
rnacentral:rRNA from 1 species